GUGGGAGCUAAAGGUUCAUGGUCCCACAGACUACAUGCCACAACUCCCCCAGAACACCCCACCCUCUCCACUACCCGCUUCCUUGUGUUCCUCUCCUUCUGACCAGAGUCCAGGAGUACAGGGAGGGGAGGAGAGAGGAGGAGAACACAGCAAGACAGCUGAAGAAGGGGGAACAGAGGAUGAAGUCUCUCGCUCUCAUGUUCUUCCCCUCAGAGUGACACCUUGGGAGAGAAAGAGAGAGAUCAGGAGGAGAGGAGGACCGAAUUGAGAAGGGGGAUAUCAGCCUUAUUGGACCGACUGCAGGGUGGGGGCACAGGGGUUGCAUAGGGGCAGAUGGAGGUACAGCUCCCCCUUGUGGCCGUGGAAGAACACAGCAGAGUCUGAUAGACCCAUAGCCUGACCUCCAGACCAGAGGACACCUUCACAUUCCCUGACCCAGCACACAACACCUCAGAGUGGCGAGAGGAGACUGUCAUCUGUCCUUCCAAGCUGAACCACAUGACCCAGCAGAGAGCAUCUUUGGAGUGUCCUGUCUGACUGAGAUGAACAGGCUUGGUCUGGGAUGAGACUGUCAUCCUAAUGUCUCGUCUGUGUGUGUGUGCCUGUGUGGGAUCAGAUGAGAAAUAUUUAUUUAUUUAGAAAAUAAAGCAGGACUCUGUGUGUCUGUCAUCGUUUCUCAUUACAAGGAACAUUCACUCCAAAAUCUAACUUUUCAAAAGGUUUCAUAACUCAUAAAGGAGUCUAAAGUGGAGUCAAUUUCCACGCCAUCUGUUGCGCAGAUCCUGCUGUAUGCAGAAUAAAUAUCCAGCUUUUAUUUAGGGUUUGAUAGGCCAGGGUAUGGUAUGUCUGUCUCCUAAACCCCGUCGUUCAGAGACCUAAAGGAUCACACUGUGUGUGGCAUAAAACUCCACGAGAGGAGUUGUCUUGCUUUCCCAGGCUUGUCAAGAGACCUCAACAAAGGCUUUCUUUGUUAAACUAAUAUGAAAGGAAAAAUCAUAAAUAUGGAUGAUUGUUAAAAGUAGUCAUUACAUGAACAACUGUCUUAUAAACACUGAACUGUCUGUGUUUCUCUCCUGUAGAUCCAGACUUUGAGUGGGUUGUGCUGAAGCUUCAGAAUAGCUUCUUGUUCUGUGAGAGAUCUUUUCUGGAGGACAUCAUCAUUCAGUGUAACGGAGACUAUCAACAGGCCUAUGACUUACUUAUCUAGUGUUGCAGAGACUACCAACAGGCAUGUGUGACAACCCUUGUCAUUCAGUGUUACCAACAUGUACAUGGGUAACUUCAAGGGUACCUACUCUGUCAUUAAGUAUAACAGAGAUAAUCAAUUUGACUGCAAAUUCUUUUUACGACACUUUCUUUUGUGUGAUAACAAAAAGCAGCUUUUUAGCCAUUAUUAGUGUUAACUUUUAGUACUCUAUCUUUGUCAUAUCUUAGUAAUAAUAAUAUUGCGAAAUAAUAAUAAUAAUAACAUUGUGAUACUAGAUAAUUUCUUCGCACAGCAAUGACUCGUAUUUUCCAUUGUCUCUGACAGUGAUUUAGGACGAUGUGCGUUUUACAAAAUAACUGUAGGUCACUGGGAUGAGUCAGCAUCUCUAUAUGCAUUUGGCUUUUAACAAGUUCAAUGUGUUGUGAUGGAAACAUCUGUCCAGGAAGAGAUGCUGUUUUCUGUUUGUCUGCAUAAAGACUAAUCCCAAUAAUAUGUUGACUAUCCAUUACCAAGACUUCCUUUUUGGAAAAAUGGACAUCAAUGGACUGUUUCCUUUAAUGUCUCCUAUUAGAUCAUGUAUUAGGUCUUUAUGAUCAGUGUGAUCUCUUGUUUUUACUGUUUCCUUUAGUGUAUCCUAUUAGAUCAUGUAUUAGGUCUUUAUGAUCAGUGUGAUCUCUUGUUUUUACUGUUUCCUUUAGUGUAUCCUAUUAGAUCAUGUAUUAGGUCUUUAUGAUCAGUGUGAUCUCUUGUUUUUACUGUUUCCUUUAAUGUAUCCUAUUAGAUCAUGUAUUAGGUGUUUAUGAUCAGUGUGAUCUCUUGUUUUUACUGUUUCCUUGUUUGAAUCAGUAUUGUAAUGUUUGGGUCAGCUACCCAGGGCUGUGGUUAAUAAAUGGGUGUUAAAA